rnacentral:rRNA from 1 species
GGUCAAGUUAUUAAGGGUGCAGGGCGGAUGCCUUGGCACUAGGAGCCGAUGAAGGACGUGAUAAGCUGCGAUAAGCUUCGGGGAGUUGCACGUAAACUUUGAUCCGAAGAUUUCCGAAUGAGGAAACUCACUUAGAGUAAUGUCUAAGUAUCAUUAAGUGAAUACAUAGCUUAAUGAGGGGAACUCAGGGAACUGAAACAUCUAAGUACCUGAAGGAAGAGAAAGAAAUUCGAUUCCGUAAGUAGCGGCGAGCGAACGCGGAUUAGCCCAAACCAAUAAAGUUUUCUUUAUUGGGGUUGCGGACAUAUCAUAACGAAGAGGUAUCGUAAUUGAAGAGGUUUGGAAAGACCCACCACAGAAGGUAAUAGUCCUGUAUGUUAAACGAGAAGACUUUAGAUAUGAUCCAGAGUACCACGGGACACGUGAAACCCUGUGGGAAGCAGGAGGGACCACCCUCCAAGGCUAAAUACUACCUAGUGACCGAUAGCGUAUAGUACCGUGAGGGAAAGGUGAAAAGAACCCCGGGAGGGGAGUGAAAUAGAACCUGAAACCCUGCACUUACAAGCUGUGGAAGCACAUUUCUUGUGUGACCGCGUACUUUUUGUAGAACGGGCCAACGAGUUACGUUAAGUAGCAAGGUUAAGCACUUAAGGUGUGGAGCCGUAGCGAAAGCGAGUUUUAACUGAGCGUUCAGUUACUUGACGUAGACCCGAAACCGGGCGACCUACCCAUGAGCAGGAUGAAGCGAAAGUAAAAUUUCGUGGAGGUCCGAACCCACGAGCGUUGAAAAGCUCGGGGAUGACUUGUGGGUAGCGGUGAAAUUCCAAUCGAGCCCGGAGAUAGCUGGUUCUCCCCGAAAUAGCUUUAGGGCUAGCCUCAAGGUGAGAGAUACGGAGGUAGAGCACUGAAUGUCCUAGGGGGUAUUGCACCUACCGAAGACUAUCAAACUCCGAAUGCCGUCAUCUUAUACUUGGGAGUCAGACUGUGGGUGAUAAGAUUCAUAGUCGAAAGGGCAACAGCCCAGAUCGUCAGCUAAGGUCCCUAAAUGUAAGUUAAGUGGUAAAGGAUGUGGGAUUGCACAGACAACCAGGAUGUUGGCUUAGAAGCAGCCACUCAUUCAAAGAGUGCGUAAUAGCUCACUGGUCGAGUGAUCCUGCGCCGAAGAUUUCCGGGGCUAAAACUUACUACCGAAGCUACGGCAUCAGUAAUGAUGGGUAGGGGAGCUUCCCAUACGGGUUGAAGCAUGACCGUAAGGACAUGUGGACAGUAUGGGAGUGAGAAUGUUGGCAUGAGUAGCGAGAUGUGGGUGAGAAUCCCACAGGCCGUAAACCCAAGGUUUCCAGGGGAAGGUUCGUCCGCCCUGGGUUAGUCGGGACCUAAGCUGAGGCCGAAAGGCGUAGGUGAUGGACAACAGGUUGAUAUUCCUGUACUACCGAUAACCGUUUGAGAGAAGGGAUGACACAGUAGGAUAAGCUAAGCACACUGUUGGUUAUGUGUGCCCAAGCAUUGAGGCAGUCAAAGUAGGCAAAUCCGCUUUGAUAAUGCUGGGAUGUGAUGGGGAGCGAAAUUUAGUAGCGAAGUAGCUGAUUUCACACUGUCAAGAAAAGUCUCUAUCGAGGUUAAAGGUACCCGUACCGCAAACCGACACAGGUGGGUGAGGAGAGUAUCCUAAGGCCAGCGAGAGAACUGUUGUUAAGGAACUCGGCAAAAUGACCCCGUAACUUAGGGAUAAGGGGUGCCACCAUCAGGUGGCCGCAGAGAAUAGGCCCAAGCGACUGUUUACCAAAAACAUAGGUUUCUGCUAAGUCGCAAGACGAUGUAUAGGAGCUGACGCCUGCCCGGUGCUGGAAGGUUAAGGGGAUCUGUUAGAGCAAUCGAAGCAGUGAACUUAAGCCCCAGUAAACGGCGGCCGUAACUAUAACGGUCCUAAGGUAGCGAAAUUCCUUGUCGGGUAAGUUCCGACCCGCACGAAAGGCGUAACGAUUUGGGCACUGUCUCAACAACAGACUCGGUGAAAUUGUAAUUCCGGUGAAGAUGCCGGAUACCUGCGACAGGACGGAAAGACCCCAUGGAGCUUUACUGUAGCUUGACAUUGGGUCUUGGUACUACAUGUACAGGAUAGGUGGGAGGCUUUGAAACCAGGACGCCAGUUUUGGCGGAGCCAUCCUUGGGAUACCACCCUUGUAGUACUGGGACUCUAACCAUAGGCCAUGAAUCUGGUCUUGGGACACUGUCAGGUGGGCAGUUUGACUGGGGCGGUCGCCUCCCAAAAGGUAACGGAGGCGCUCAAAGGUUCUCUCAGUACGGUCGGAAAUCGUACGUAGAGUGUAAAGGCAAAAGAGAGCUUGAUUGCAAGACAUACAGGUCGAGCAAGGAUGAAAAUCGGA